rnacentral:rRNA from 1 species
UCGGGAAUUUUGGGCAAUGGGCGAAAGCCUGACCCAGCAACGCCGCGUGAAGGAUGAAGUCUUUCGGGAUGUAAACUUCGUAAGAAUAGGAAGAAUAAAUGACGGUACUAUUUGUAAGGUCCGGCUAACUACGUGCCAGCAGCCGCGGUAAUACGUAGGGACCAAGCGUUGUUCGGAUUUACUGGGCGUAAAGGGCGCGUAGGCGGCGUGUCAAGUCAAUUGUGAAAUCUCAGGGCUUAACCCUGAACGGUCAAUUGAUACUGAUGUGCUAGAGUGCAGAAGGGGCAAUCGGAAUUCUUGGUGUAGCGGUGAAAUGCGUAGAUAUCAAGAGGAACACCUGAGGUGAAGACGGGUUGCUGGGCUGACACUGACGCUGAGGCGCGAAAGCUAGGGUAGCAAACGGG